AUUAUUUUUUAAAUCAGAGGACGGCAUACUGAGAUCCUACAGCACCCGGUAUUCCCAGGUGGUCUCCCAUCCAAGUACUAACCAGGCCCAACCCUGCUUAGCUUCUGAGAUCAGACAAGGUCCGGCAC